GGCGGACGGGUGAGUAACGCGUGGGUAACCUGCCUUACACUGGGGGAUAACAGUUAGAAAUGACUGCUAAUACCGCAUAGGCGCACAGGGCCGCAUGGUCUGGUGUGAAAAACUCCGGUGGUGUAAGAUGGACCCGCGUCUGAUUAGGUAGUUGGUGGGGUAACGGCCCACCAAGCCGACGAUCAGUAGCCGACCUGAGAGGGUGACCGGCCACAUUGGGACUGAGACACGGCCCAAACUCCUACGGGAGGCAGCAGUGGGGAAUAUUGGACAAUGGGCGAAAGCCUGAUCCAGCGACGCCGCGUGAGUGAAGAAGUAUUUCGGUAUGUAAAGCUCUAUCAGCAGGGAAGAAAAUGACGGUACCUGACUAAGAAGCCCCGGCUAACUACGUGCCAGCAGCCGCGGUAAUACGUAGGGGGCAAGCGUUAUCCGGAUUUACUGGGUGUAAAGGGAGCGUAGACGGUUUAGCAAGUCUGAAGUGAAAGCCCGGGGCUCAACCCCGGUACUGCUUUGGAAACUGUUAGACUUGAGUGCAGGAGAGGUAAGUGGAAUUCCUAGUGUAGCGGUGAAAUGCGUAGAUAUUAGGAGGAACACCAGUGGCGAAGGCGGCUUACUGGACUGUA
rnacentral:rRNA from 1 species